GAAGACUGAUGGAGCUUCAUCCUGAGCUAAAAAGGGACGAGAUGGUCACAGAGUUUCUGCUGGACAGGAAUCAGGAUGUGAACCUCUGGACUUGGCUGCCACUGUCAAAGUCCUGCACGUUGUACACCCAUCAUCCACCACAAGCACCUCCCUGUGACUUUUGUGCACUUCAGAAAGAUGGCGCCUCUUUUUCAGGAAAAAAAAUCCAGGAAACAAUUACAUUUCCCAUCAAAAUGUGCAACAACUUUUAUGGGGACACAACUCUAUUUCAGAAUGUGGACGUAAACAUGGUCAAUACUAUACAGGAUGCAGCAGUUGAGCGGGAUCUCUGACAUCCUUCACACAGACCUGUGAGUGUGUGCAGCAGGUGUGAAAAGGAGCCGGCGGCGUAUCAUGUAACCUUUUGACAAGUUGCUCAACAACAACAAGCCCUCCCUGUUAUUAUUAUUGGGUCAACAAAGUCAGAGGAAUUCUUUGGGAUUA